CCCUUAGAUGUUCUGGGCCGCACGCGCGCUACACUGAUGCGUUCAACGAGUAUACAACCUUGAUCGAUAGGUCUGGGUAAUCUUGUGAAUGCGCAUCGUGCUAGGGAUAGAUUGUUGCAAUUUUCAAUCUUGAACGAGGAAUUCCUAGUAAACGCAAGUCAUCAGCUUGCAUUGAUUACGUCCCUGCCCUUUGUACACACCGCCCGUCGCACCUACCGAUUGAAUGUUUCGGUGAAGAUUCCGGAUAGGACUUUUUUGAUUUAUUUCAAUUUUGUCUUAAAAGCUAUCUAAACCUCAACAUUUAGAGGAAGGUGAAGUCGUAACA
rnacentral:rRNA from 1 species